rnacentral:rRNA from 1 species
GACGAACGCUGGCGGCGUGCUUAACACAUGCAAGUCGAACGGAAAGGCCCUGCUUUUGUGGGGUGCUCGAGUGGCGAACGGGUGAGUAACACGUGAGUAACCUGCCCUUGACUUUGGGAUAACUUCUGGAAACUGGGGCUAAUACCGGAUAGGAGCUCCUGCUGCAUGGUGGGGGUUGGAAAGUUUCGGCGGCUGGGGAUGGACUCGCGGCUUAUCAGCUUGUGGGUGGGGUAGUGGCUUACCAAGGCUUUGACGGGUAGCCGGCCUGGGAGGGUGACCGGCCCCAGAGGACUAGGGGAGGCCGCAGGAGGGCAGCUGGGGGAAGGGGGGGGAGUGUGAGCAAACAGGGCGGAGUCAGUGAAGAAGGCCGCCGGGUGGGGAAGGUCGGCUGUCGGGUAGGAACCCGUGUGCGCGUGGAAAGAUCGGAAUGUGACGGUAACUGAUAAGAAAGCGCCGGCUAACUACGUG